rnacentral:rRNA from 1 species
UGGGGAAUUUUGGACAAUGGGCGAAAGCCUGAUCCAGCAAUGCCGCGUGUGUGAAGAAGGCCUUCGGGUUGUAAAGCACUUUUGUCCGGAAAGAAAUCCUUGGCUCUAAUACAGUCGGGGGAUGACGGUACCGGAAGAAUAAGCACCGGCUAACUACGUGCCAGCAGCCGCGGUAAUACGUAGGGUGCAAGCGUUAAUCGGAAUUACUGGGCGUAAAGCGUGCGCAGGCGGUUUGCUAAGACCGAUGUGAAAUCCCCGGGCUCAACCUGGGAACUGCAUUGGUGACUGGCAGGCUAGAGUAUGGCAGAGGGGGGUAGAAUUCCACGUGUAGCAGUGAAAUGCGUAGAGAUGUGGAGGAAUACCGAUGGCGAAGGCAGCCCCCUGGGCCAAUACUGACGCUCAUGCACGAAAGCGUGGGGAGCAAACAGGAUUAGAUACCCUGGUAGUCCACGCCCUAAACGAUGUCAACUAGUUGUUGGGGAUUCAUUUCCUUAGUAACGUAGCUAACGCGUGAAGUUGACCGCCUGGGGAGUACGGUCGCAAGAUUAAAACUCAAAGGAAUUGACGGGGUCAUAA